rnacentral:miRNA from 1 species
AGAAAUUUCCCACGCUGUGUAAAAUGACUCAUAACACUCUGAUUGGUUAGUCACCAAUCAGAGUGUUAUGAGUCAUUUUACACAGCUGGGAAAAU